UACGUAGGGUGCAAGCGUUAAUCGGAAUUACGGGGCGUAAAGCGUGCGCAGGCGGUUUUGUAAGUCCGUCGUGAAAGCCCCGGGCUCAACCUGGGAAUUGCGAUGGAGACUGCAAGGCUUGAAUCUGGCAGAGGGGGGUAGAAUUCCACGUGUAGCAGUGAAAUGCGUAGAGAUGUGGAGGAACACCGAUGGCGAAGGCAGCCCCCUGGGUCAAGAUUGACGCUCAUGCACGAAAGCGUGGGGAGCAAACAGG
rnacentral:rRNA from 1 species